GAUGAACGCUGGCGGCGUGCCUAAUACAUGCAAGUCGAACGAGGUGCUUGAGUAGCAAUACGAGAGUAUCCUAGUGGCGAACGGGUGAGUAACGCGUUGGUGACCUACCCCAAAGUGUGGGAUAACAGUCCGAAAGGAUUGCUAAUACCGCAUGUGGUCUUCGGGUUUAGAAACCGAUGACGAAAGCAGCAAUGCGCUUUGGGAGGGACCUGCGUCCCAUCAGCUAGNGGUGAGGUAACGGCUCACCAAGGCGACGACGGGUA
rnacentral:rRNA from 1 species